rnacentral:rRNA from 1 species
CGCCUUAUACUCCUACGGGAGGCAGCAGUGGGGAAUUUUGGACAAUGGGGGCAACCCUGAUCCAGCAAUGCCGCGUGAGUGAAGAAGGCCUUCGGGUUGUAAAGCUCUUUUGUCAGGGAAGAAACGGUAGUAGCUAAUAUCUAUUACUAAUGACGGUACCUGAAGAAUAAGCACCGGCUAACUACGUGCCAGCAGCCGCGGUAAUACGUAGGGUGCAAGCGUUAAUCGGAAUUACUGGGCGUAAAGCGUGCGCAGGCGGUUGUGUAAGUCAGAUGUGAAAUCCCCGGGCUCAACCUGGGAAUUUCAUUUGAGACUGCACGGCUAGGGUGUGUCAGAGGGGGGUAGAAUUCCACGUGUAGCAGUGAAAUGCGUAGAUAUGUGGAGGAAUACCGAUGGCGAAGGCAGCCCCCUGGGAUAACACUGACGCUCAUGCACGAAAGCGUGGGGAGCAAACAGGAUUAGAAUCCCGGGUAGUCCACGUACCA